rnacentral:ncRNA from 2 species
GAACCAUCCAGAGCGGCGGAGGGACUGGCCCUACGAAGCCGCGGCAACCUUCGCUAUAGCGAGACGGUGCCAAAUCCAGCAGGAAUUCCUGGCAGAUGGUCG